ACCCUUCUUGUACAGCGGCGCCAUCUUAGCUUUCUUCCAAUCAGCAGGAAUGCGGGCUUUCUCAUACAGGAGCUUGAACAGCUGCGCAAUGUAAGGCUGGAGAACAUUGAUCAUACCCUAUCAUACCCUCGCCUACCUAGUCGUGGGUGCUCUACAAAGGCAUGCUUUAUGAAAGGGGCAGCCACACAGUCAAACCCAGGCGAAGCUUGCGCGCUCAUCUUACUGAUCUGCUGAGCAACCAACCCCUGAAAUGUG
rnacentral:lncRNA from 1 species